rnacentral:piRNA from 1 species
UGCCCCCUGAUAAGUAGAGAAUCACAAGGU